GAACGAGAAAGUGGAGCAAUCCAUGAGUACAGUGGCGACCGGGUGAGUAACACGUGACUAACCUACCCUCGAGUGGGGGAUAACUCCGGGAAACCGGAGCUAAUACCGCAUAACAUCGAAAGAUCAAAGCAGCAAUGCGCUUGAAGAGGGGGUCGCGGCUGAUUAGCUAGUUGGCGGGGUAACGGCCCACCAAGGCGAAGAUCGGUAUCCGGCCUGAGAGGGCGCACGGACACACUGGAACUGAAACACGGUCCAGACUCCUACGGGAGGCAGCAGUGGGGAAUUUUGCGCAAUGGGGGAAACCCUGACGCAGCAACGCCGCGUGGAGGAUGAAGCCCCUUGGGGCGUAAACUCCUUUCGACCAAGACGAUAAUGACGGUACUGGUGGAAGAAGCACCGGCUAACUCUGUG
rnacentral:rRNA from 1 species